rnacentral:rRNA from 1 species
GCUUGCUAUUUUUAUGAAGAGCGGCGAACGGGUGAGUAACGCGUGGGAAAUCUGCCGAGUAGCGGGGGGCAACGUUUGGAAACGAACGCUAAUACCGCAUAACAAUGAGAAUCGCAUGAUUCUUAUUUAAAAGAAGCAAUUGCUUCACUACUUGAUGAUCCCGCGUUGUAUUAGCUAGUUGGUAGUGUAAAGGACUACCAAGGCGAUGAUACAUAGCCGACCUGAGAGGGUGAUCGGCCACACUGGGACUGAGACACGGCCCAGACUCCUACGGGAGGCAGCAGUAGGGAAUCUUCGGCAAUGGGGGCAACCCUGACCGAACAACGCCCGCGUGAGUGAAGAAGGUUUUCGGAUCGUAAAACUCUUGUUGUUAGAGAAGAACGUUAAGUAGAGUGGAAAAUUACUUUAAGUGACGGUAUUCUACCAGAAAGGGACGGCUUAACUAACGUGCCAGCACCCGCGGUAAUACGUAGGUCCAAGCGUUGUCCCGGAUUUAUUGG